rnacentral:rRNA from 1 species
AAUCCAUAGGUUAAUGAGGCGAACCGGGGGAACUGAAACAUCUAAGUACCCCGAGGAAAAGAAAUCAACCGAGAUUCCCCCAGUAGCGGCGAGCGAACGGGGAGGAGCCCAGAGCCUGAAUCAGCAUGUGUGUUAGUGGAAGCGUCUGGAAAGGCGCGCGAUACAGGGUGACAGCCCCGUACACAAAAGCGCAUGUGCUGUGAGCUCGAUGAGUAGGGCGGGACACGUGGUAUCCUGUCUGAAUAUGGGGGGACCAUCCUCCAAGGCUAAAUACUCCUGACUGACCGAUAGUGAACCAGUACCGUGAGGGAAAGGCGAAAAGAACCCCGGCGAGGGGAGUGAAAAAGAACCUGAAACCGUGUACGUACAAGCAGUGGGAGCACCCUUUGGGUGUGACUGCGUACCUUUUGUAUAAUGGGUCAGCGACUUAUAUUCUGUAGCAAGGUUAACCGAAUAGGGGAGCCGGAGGGAAACCGAGUCUUAACCGGGCGUUAAGUUGCAGGGUAUAGACCCGAAACCCGGUGAUCUAGCCAUGGGCAGGUUGAAGGUUGGGUAACACUAACUGGAGGACCGAACCGACUAAUGUUGAAAAAUUAGCGGAUGACCUGUGGCUGGGGGUGAAAGGCCAAUCAAACCGGGAGAUAGCUGGUUCUCCCCGAAAGCUAUUUAGGUAGCGCCUCGUGAAUUCAUCUCCGGGGGUAGAGCACUGUUUCGGCUAGGGGGCCAUCCCGGCUUACCAACCCGAUGCAAACUGCGAAUACCGGAGAAUGUUAUCACGGGAGACACACGGCGGGUGCUAACGUCCGUCGUGAAGAGGGAAACAACCCAGACCGCCAGCUAAGGUCCCAAAGUCAUGGUUAAGUGGGAAACGAUGUGGGAAGGCCCAG